rnacentral:rRNA from 1 species
GACGGGGGGGGCUAGCGUUGUUCGGAAUUACUGGGCGUAAAGCGCGCGCAGGCGGUCUUCCAAGUCAGUGGUGAAAGCCCGGAGCUCAACUCCGGAAUUGCCAUUGAAACUGUGAGACUGGAGUACGAGAGAGGUGAGUGGAAUUCCCAGUGUAGAGGUGAAAUUCGUAGAUAUUGGGAAGAACACCGGUGGCGAAGGCGGCUCACUGGCUCGUAACUGACGCUCAGGCGCGACAGCGUGGGGAUCAAACAGG